UACGAAGGGGGCUAGCGUUGCUCGGAAUCACUGGGCGUAAAGGGUGCGUAGGCGGGUCUUUAAGUCAGGGGGGAAAUCCUGGAGCUCAACUCCAGAACUGCCUUUGAUACUGAAGAUCUUGAGUUCGGGAGAGGUGAGUGGAACUGCGAGUGUAGAGGUGAAAUUCGUAGAUAUUCGUAAGAACACCAGUGGCGAAGGCGGCUCACUGGCCCGAUACUGACGCUGAGGCACGAAAGCGUGGGGAGCAAACAGG
rnacentral:rRNA from 1 species